rnacentral:lncRNA from 1 species
UUUAUCAUAUGAAAAUGAUUCCAAGAGAAACGUUACUCUAAAUGACAUUCCAAACAACUUUCAUGUUGAGGUCUAAAGCUAGUUUUGCUUGGAAAGUAAUUUUUUGUGGUGAAAGAUUAUAGGUCAUUUUGUCUAAACCCUAAUUUGGAGGUCAACUUCCCAAGACCAUAACUUGCUUAUUCUUUAUGAGAUGAAAUAU